rnacentral:rRNA from 1 species
UGCGUAGGCGGAAUAUUAAGUCAGUGGUGAAAUCCUGCGGCUCAACCGUAGAACUGCCAUUGAUACUGAUAUUCUUGAAUGUAGUUGAGGUAGGCGGAAUGUGUAAUGUAGCGGUGAAAUGCUUAGAUAUUACACAGAACACCGAUUGCGAAGGCAGCUUACUAAACUAUGAUUGAUGCUGAGGCACGAAAGCGUGGGGAGCGAACAGGAUUAGAUACCCUGGUAGUC